AAUCAACGCUGGCGGCGUGCCUAACACAUGCAAGUCGAACGCGAAAGUGGAGCAAUCCAUGAGUAGAGUGGCGAACGGGUGAGUAACGCGUGGGUGACCUGCCUUCGAGUGGGGGAUAACGUCCCGAAGGGGACGCUAAUACCGCAUGACAUCCCGCCCUUGAACGGGUGGAGAUCAAAGCCGGGGAUCGCAAGACCUGGCGCUUGAAGAGGAGCCCGCGUCCGAUUAGCUGGUUGGGGGGGUAACGGCCGACCAAGGCGACGAUCGGUAGCCGGCCUGAGAGGGCGGACGGCCACACUGGGACUGAGACACGGCCCAGACUCCUACGGGAGGCAGCAGUGGGGAAUAUUGGACAAUGGGCGGAAGCCUGAUCCAGCCAUGCCGCGUGUGUGAAGAAGGCCUUUUGGUUGUAAAGCACUUUAAGCGGGGAGGAGGCUACUUAGAUUAAUACUCUGGGAUAGUGGACGUUACUCGCAGAAUAAGCACCGGCUAACUCUGUGCCAGCCGCCGCAGUAACAC
rnacentral:rRNA from 1 species